rnacentral:other from 2 species
AGUUCCCUGCGAUGUUCGUGAUAAAUGGUAAUCUUAGAGCCAACACCUCUUUUUUGGGGGCCUUACACUGCUGGAGUGUGCAUGCUCGCACAAUAAGCGAGAAGCCUGAACCAGCAAAUAGGCACCCACUUUAACUAGAGGUUCAAGAAAUACUGUUUACACGGCAUCCGCGGGGUUUUU